rnacentral:lncRNA from 1 species
ACUAUGACUUGUGGACCUUCAUGUGCCCACAUAUUUUUGGUAUAUUUUUUUUAACUAUAUAAACUCGAUAGUCGCUUAGGUAUAAUUACCUGAUAACUAGAGGAUGCUUCUCCCCCAAGCUGGAUGUUUGUAAUACUUGAUGUAGAUGUUCUUCAGAGCGAGCUAGCUAGUAGCGCACUCGGUGGUGCCACUGAUAGACUCUCUCCUUGUUAUGAUAUUAUUCCCGCAUAGUUAUACUCCAACAAGAAAACCAAAACUUGAGGCUCGAAUUUAAUAAUGGGUUAGCGGUUAGCCAAUGAGUAAUUGAUUAUUCCUAUGAGCUAAUUUUAAUGUUGUCUGAUUUAAGUAGGAUUUCAUAUUUAUCUUCUUUUUUUUUGAAUUUUUUAUUUAUGAUGCAAA